UGCUCCCUGAGAUGUUCGCCAGUAGGUUAUGUCCCUGGCCGAUGCUAAAGAUCCAAGGGAUUGUUGCUCACUGCUAUUGCGCAUGCUUGGCACGUACCAAGAAGCCUACGGUAGAGACAGCAGUUCCGCCCUGAACCUACGGUUCACGGGCUUACACCUGCAACGGCAUCUUCGGGGAGCGC
rnacentral:other from 1 species